UCUGUGCUGUAUGGUUCUAU
rnacentral:miRNA from 1 species